rnacentral:lncRNA from 1 species
UUCAGAAACUUGAGAAAGACAGCCCACUUUCUUAUUGUUCUCUUAAAAUCCCCUAAGUUUUAUAAUAAAAUGAGAUAGUCCAAAUAUGGCAAGUGACUGACAUUCACAGGAGCUUCCAAGCCUAGAAUUAUAGGCUUUGUCUGUCUCCCAAAUGAGCUGCAAAAUGUAGUUGUUUAUUACUGCCCAGGAAACAAAAUGUAUUUCAGAUCAGUAAAGAAUUUGUUUAGUAGAAUAUCGUCUUACCUUUCAGAAGCUUUUUCUAUACUCUUGUGUCUUCUGUACAGUCCACAUUUUGUGUGAAAUCUAUUUAUUUGCCUGUCUUCUUACUACACAUUCAGUGGAUUCUCAACAAUGCUGUAUUUAGUGACAAAAAUAAUAAAUUGGACCACAAUUUUAAAAAAGAAAAACCAGUAAGAAAAUGUCAAAGCUACCUUGAUUGGUACACACAUGUUGAAGUGCAGGGCCUGGUAGGGUGGUUUCAUCCAGCCUGGUGCAGAGAGAUGCCCAGGGCUUCCUCUUAAAUCAUACUCUUGACACCAUCAUUACUUUCAUUUACUUAUCAAGUAAAUCAGAAGCAUAAUCAAUGAUUGCAAAGUAAAACAGCACCCACGAGGGAAGAGGUCACAGGAUUGAGGGUGGUAAGAUGAAGGUGGAGACCAAAUGAUAUUGUAGCUUUUUAAGUGAACUGAAAGCCUAUUUGAAAGUAUAAAUUUUAGAUGAAGGAAGAACAGUAGUCACCAACAAAUUUUUCCCAGAUAUGAGUAGAAAUGACACAGAUCUAGUCGCCUAAAAUUGCCAUUUGCCUCCAUGGACUAGAUGGGCAAUUCACAGACAUUUUUCUCAUCAAUAGUCACUACAUUAUUUCACAAUGAUAGUUAUUGCCCGGAAGGUUUUUUUUCAGUUCACAAACCAUGGCCUAUACCGGAGGUAGCCAUCAUUAACCCCACCAACUAAACUCAAUAUUUAGCAGAAAGUUAGAUAUGCUAUGAAACAUUUUUUUUAAAUUAACUUUUAAAGCAUCAUCAGUUCCCACUAAAAUGUAUAAUAAUGAUGGUGGUAUCUGCUAUAAUGUAUUAAGGUCUAGCCUAAUAAUUUAUUAUUUUGUUUGAUUCUCACAACAGUGCUAUGAAGUAAGUAAUACUUUCAAGUUUUGUAGAUGAAGAAACUGCAGCAUAGGGAUUAAGCAGACUUGCCCAAGGUCAUCCAGUAGGUAAAUAGGAGACCCAGGGUUAGAACCCAGGUAUAAAUUACUCUAAAACCUCUACUACAUGUGUACUGCAGUGGCAUCCCUCUUCACCAGUUACAAGAAAAGGAGUUAGGAUAACAUUGCACUCAUCAGUCAUCCCACCCACUAUAACGGGACGGCAGAACUAGAAAAAGAGAAGGAAAAAUCAGAGCUUGAGAAAGAGAAACACAAAAGAUCAGGGAUGUGUUUUCUUCUCAGGAUACAAAUGGUACCUCUGUGUAAUACUUUGUAUAUGACUUUGAUUUACUCUACAAAUUCAGCCUAUACUUAAAUUCUGGAAGUAUGUUAACCAAUUUGUUCUGCUCCUUGUCCACUUUUGGGAAUCUAAGAUAUUUUAAUUGUAUAUGAUCACCUUUCUAUGAAGUGGAUAUCCUGUGUCCUUCAGCAGGUAUCUUGCCCAUAUCAGUGGUGAAAGGAACGACUGUGUCUUCCUCUGUGCUCUCAUUAUAAUUUAUUUCUUACAUACCCUUUAUCAAGGUUUUAACUGGAUUACAGCUAAUUUAUUACAUGUCUUUCUCCCUUAAUUUUAGUUAAUGCCUUGUCUUAUUAUCUAUAUGUGCCCCUUUGCUCAUAGUAGGCCUAUAAUAAAUACUGAGUCGAACUUAAUUUCCUAUAGAAGAUAUCAAUAACACUGUUAUAUAGGUCUCAAUUUUUUAUGAAUCCUAUGUAAUGCAUGGAUUUAUUUAUUCAUUUAUUUUACAAGAAGACCUACUAUGAGUCAGGCAUUGUUCUCAGUGCUACAGGUUAGAGAGAGUAUAUUAGAGAGACAAUCUUUUUCCCCUCAUGGAGCUUACUUACAUUCUGAGCUAGGAAGACACUACAGAAUGAUAUACAUUUAGUGGACGGGUACAACAUGGGAUCAGAACAAUCUUCCUGGGAAAGAUUACCCUUGAGUUGGAUCUCCAAGAACAAACAAAGGAAUAUAUUCUCCCCAGGAGCGAAAUUUGAAACAACUAUAGUGUGUCCCAAACUACAGUGUGUUUCAGAAUCAUUUUGAGAGCUUAAUUUGUUUUCCAAAGCCCCACCUCCAGAGAUGUUUCUUUCAUCUGGUGUGGAGUGGAACCCAUGAAUCUACAUCUUAUUAAGCUUCCCAGAAAACUCUAUCUGAUAUACCUUGGUAUAGAAUAUUGAGCUCAUGAUAUACAAUUCCUGAUAGCAACGUUUCAGUGUCCAUAGAUUAAGCGUAAUAGUGCUAAAUAAGAGCGAGAUUAUGACUAGGAUUAGUGCUCCUCAUAUACUAUUUGUGCUUCCUUAAAAAGAAAAAUAACGAAAACAUUAAAAGUGAUAUUUAAUUAUGAGUUCCUGUACAUUCACAUUCAACAUGACUUUUUCAAAGUGUUCCUUGGACUAAUAAAUUCUAUUAUGUUGGUUUUAUGAUUCCUGAAAAUUACUUUGGAUUAUGGUUCACAUAUUUCCCCCGGAAGCUGUCUUUACAGUGUUAAAUAUAAGACAAAGAGAGUCAGAGGAGCUAUUUGCCGAUGAUAUCUUCGUCGGUAUUCUCAGUGAAAUUAGGCUGACCCCUAGGUAACUAUAACAACCAUAGAUGGUGGCAUUGUUUAUUGUGUAUAGUAAGCUUUGUUGCCUUUUAUCAUCAUCUUCAGUGGCUUCCCUGACCUCACACUCCUCACAUGAACCCCAUUGCUGGCUUCUUCCCUAGCAUCACCAAUGUUUCUGUCACCUCUUCUCUGAUCUCUAUUUCCUUGAUUGUUUUUGCUUUCUUAGGAUCUUUUAUUUCAAAUAGCAAAUUAAUACAGCAGCCUCACACCUUCUUCUUUCUCUAAAAAUAAAUACUGUGUAUACAGUUCAUCUGAGUUUCUAUCCUCCCUCAUUUAAAAUGUAGACAUACCUUCUUCUCUGCUGUAAUAUUUCACAUGAAUAUUUUUUACAUUUGGAAAGUUUCCACCCCCCCCAACAAAGAUCUGUGAUUAACCCACUGAAAAAUGAGAUUAUUUGAAUAUUUGAAAUGAUCUGAUAUGGAAUUGGGCUGUUUUCGUAACUGCUGCUGUGUUGUGUUUGGUCUGGUUAUAACCUGAGGUCUGGUUAGUGCAAGUUUAAUGUGGAAGCGUGUGAUAGACUGGAAUUAUCAGCCUGUUAUCAAAAAUGAAUCUUGCUCUUUUCUCUCCCUGCUUAGCCAGGUAUGUUUCUUCUUACAGUCCUUCCUUCUUUCUUCUUCUCUGCCUUUUUUUCCCAUCUGGAUUCAUGUACAUUCACACCAAAUACCAGAGUACAUCAAA